GGUACAACGAGUCGCAAGCUCGCGAGAGUAAGCUAAUCUCUUAAAGCCGUUCUCAGUUCGGACUGUAGGCUGCAACUCGCCUACACGAAGUCGGAAUCGCUAGUAAUCGCGGAUCAGCAUGCCGCGGUGAAUACGUUCCCGGGCCUUGUACACACCGCCCGUCACACCAUGGGAGUUUGUAACGCCCAAAGUCGGUGGCCUAACCUUUAUGGAGGGAGCCGCCUAAGGCGGGACAGAUGACUGGGGUGAAGUCGUAACAAGGUAGCCGUAGGAGAACCUGCGGCUGGAUCACCUCCUUUCUAAGGAA
rnacentral:rRNA from 1 species